CUUUAAGUUUCGGUCUUGCGACCGUACUCCCCAGGCGGCAGACUUAACGGCUUCCCUGCGGCACUGGGCUGGCACAAGGCUAGCCCAUCACCGAGUCUGCAUCGUUUACAGCUGGGACUACCCGGGUAUCUAAUCCGGUUUGCUCCCCCAGCUUUCAUCCCUCACCGUCGAGCGCGUUCUGGCAAGCCGCCUUCGCCACUGGUGGUCUUCAAUGGAUCAAAGGAUUUUACCCCUACCCACUGAGUACCGCUUGCCUCUCCCGCCUCCUAGUCCUAUAGUAUCCUCCGCGGCCCAUCCGUUGAGCGGCUGGAUUUAACGGAGGACUUGCAGAACCGGCUACGGAUGCUUUAGGCCCAAUAAUCGUCCCGACCACUCGGGGUGCUGGUAUUACCGCGGCGGCUGACACCAGACUUGCCCACCCCUUAUUCUGCACCAUUUUUAGAGGUG
rnacentral:rRNA from 1 species